rnacentral:rRNA from 1 species
AUUGAACGCUGGCGGCAGGCCUAACACAUGCAAGUCGAGCGAGCGGCGGACGGGUGAGUAAUGUCUGGGAAACUGCCUGAUGGAGGGGGAUAACUACUGGAAACGGUAGCUAAUACCGCAUAACAUCAGAUGUGCCCAGAUGGGAUUAGCUAGUAGGUGGGGUAAUGGCCCACUUAGGCUACGAUCCCAAGCUGGUCUGAGAGGAUGACCAGCCACACUGGAACGGUGACACGGUCCAGCCUCCGACGUGAGGCACCAGUGGGGAAUAUUGCACAAUGGGCGGAAGCCUGAUGCAGCCAUGCCGCGUGUGUGAAGAAGGCCUUAGGUUUGUAAAGCACUUUCAGCGGGGAGGCGUUACCCGCAGAAGAAGCACCGGCUAACUCCGUGCCAGCCGCCGCGGUAAUAC